GACGAACGCUGGCGGUGUGCUUAACACAUGCAAGUCGAACGGAAAGGCCUCUUUCGGGGGGUACUCGAGUGGCGAACGGGUGAGUAACACGUGAGUAACCUGCCCUUGACUUUGGGAUAACUUCAGGAAACUGGGGCUAAUACCGGAUAGGAGCUCCUGCUGCAUGGUGGGGGUUGGAAAGUUUCGGCGGUUGGGGAUGGACUCGCGGCUUAUCAGCUUGUUGGUGGGGUAGUGGCUUACCAAGGCUUUGACGGGUAGCCGGCCUGAGAGGGUGACCGGCCACAUUGGGACUGAGAUACGGCCCAGACUCCUACGGGAGGCAGCAGUGGGGAAUAUUGCACAAUGGGUGGAAGCCUGAUGCAGCAACGCCGUGUGCGGGAUGACGGCCUUCGGGUUGUAAACCGCUUUCGCUCAUGACGAAGCUUUGUGUGACGGUAGUGGGUAAAGAAGCACCGGCUAACUACGUG
rnacentral:rRNA from 1 species